CAGCGCCACGAGUGGCAAUCGCGAUUAUUGGGCCUAAAGCGUCCGUAGCCGGUCCGGUAAAUCCUUUGUGAAAUCGCCAAGCUUAACUUGGCGGCGUGCAGGGGACACUGCCGAACUCGAGACCGGGAGGAGUUAGAAGUAUUUUUGGGGGAGCGGUAAAAUGCUAUAAUCCCAGAAAGACUACCGAUGGCGAAGGCAUCUAACUAGAACGGAUCUGACGGUGAGGGACGAAAGCCAGGGGAGCGAACCGGAUUAGAUACCCGAGUAGUCC
rnacentral:rRNA from 1 species